rnacentral:rRNA from 1 species
AGGAAUAUUGGUCAAUGGGCGCGAGCCUGAACCAGCCAAGUAGCGUGAAGGAUGAAGGUCCUAUGGAUUGUAAACUUCUUUUAUACGGGAAUAAAGUGGUCCACGUGUGGACUUUUGCAUGUACCGUAUGAAUAAGCAUCGGCUAACUCCGUGCCAGCAGCCGCGGUAAUACGGAGGAUGCGAGCGUUAUCCGGAUUUAUUGGGUUUAAAGGGAGCGCAGACGGGGGAUUAAGUCAGUUGUGAAAGUUUGCGGCUCAACCGUAAAAUUGCAGUUGAUACUGGUUCCCUUGAGUGCAGUUGAGGCAGGCGGAAUUCGUGGUGUAGCGGUGAAAUGCAUAGAUAUCACGAAGAACCCCGAUUGCGAAGGCAGCCUGCUAAGCUGUAACUGACGUUGAGGCUCGAAAGUGUGGGUAUCAAACAGGAUUAGAUACCCUGGUAGUCCACACGGUAAACGAUGGAUACUCGCUGUUGGCGAUAUACUGUCAGCGGCCAAGCGAAAGCAUUAAGUAUCCCACCUGGGGAGUACGCCGGCAACGGUGAAACUCAAAGGAAUUGACGGGGGCCCGCACAAGCGGAGGAACAUGUGGUUUAAUUCGAUGAUACGCGAGGAACCUUACCCGGGCUUAAAUUGCAGACGAAUUACUUGGAAACAGGUAAGCCGCAAGGCGUCUGUGAAGGUGCUGCAUGGUUGUCGUCAGCUCGUGCCGUGAGGUGUCGGCUUAAGUGCCAUAACGAGCGCAACCCUCGUGGCCAGUUACUAGCAGGUAACGCUGAGGACUCUGGCCAGACUGCCAUCGUAAGAUGUGAGGAAGGUGGGGAUGACGUCAAAUCAGCACGGCCCUUACGUCCGGGGCUACACACGUGUUACAAUGGGGGGUACAGAAGGCAGCUACCUGGCGACAGGAUGCUAAUCCCUAAAACCUCUCUCAGUUCGGAUUGGAGUCUGCAACCCGACUCCAUGAAGCUGGAUUCGCUAGUAAUCGCGCAUCAGCCACGGCGCGGUGAAUACGUUCCCG